GAUGAACGCUGGCGGCGUGCCUAAUACAUGCAAGUCGAGCGAACAGACGAGGAGCUUGCUCCUUUGACGUUAGCGGCGGACGGGUGAGUAACACGUAGGUAACCUACCUAUAAGACUGGGAUAACUUCGGGAAACCGGAGCUAAUACCGGAUAAUAUUUCGAACCGCAUGGUUCGAUAGUGAAAGAUGGCUUUGCUAUCACUUAUAGAUGGACCUGCGCCGUAUUAGCUAGUUGGUAAGGUAACGGCUUACCAAGGCAACGAUACGUAGCCGACCUGAGAGGGUGAUCGGCCACACUGGAACUGAGACACGGUCCAGACUCCUACGGGAGGCAGCAGCAGGGAAUCUUCCGCAAUGGGCGAAAGCCUGACGGAGCAACGCCGCGUGAGUGAUGAAGGUCUUCGGAUCGUAAAACUCUGUUAUUAGGGAAGAACAAACGUGUAAGUAACUGUGCACGUCCUGACGGUACCUAAUCAGAAAGCCACGGCUAACUACGUG
rnacentral:rRNA from 1 species